UAUGAGACAUAUACACCUUUCAGACAUAGCAUUUUGCUCACAUUAAAACAUUCACAUUUUGCACAAUGACUUGUGCUGUAGCUUAAAUACAAAACUUAAAUAC